UCAGGAAUCCAGGCAUGGCUUAGCCGAGUCCUUUGCUCUAAGGUCCCUCAUAAGGCUGCAGCCUGGGCGUCAGACAGAUGACUCAACCCAACCAUGACCUUCAAGUGUGAAGACUGCACUGAGUGUCAUGAGAAAUUCAAGAUGUACUGGAAGGACCCUGCCCUCAACGACCAUAUGUUCCAAUGUUGUGAGAGGACAGCAUAAGGACAUUAUACAAUGAAGACAUUAUAAACACAACAUCAUGAAAACUACCUGAGAGGAAUUGAGAGUGCUUUACAGUUUUUAUUUUUUAUUUUUAUUUUUUAAAUUUAAAUGUUUUUAUUUAUUUUUGAGAGAAAGAGAGACACACAGAAUCUGGAGCAGGCUCCAGGCUCUGAGCUGUCAACACAGAGCCCCAUGUGGGGUUUGAACACACAGACUGCAAGAUCAUGACCUGAGCCACAGUCAGAUACUUAACCAACUGAGCCACCCAGGCACCCCAAUAGUGCUUUGCAAUUUAAUCCAUAUCUGGUUGGAGGAAAAAAUUAAGAACAUCAGAAAGGAGGAGAUUUUUGAAUUGGAUCUAGCAAGAUGGGUAGCAAACCUCCAUUCAGGGAUAAAGAAAAAGAAUUCUACGAGCAUUUUAUUCUAUUUAAAUAAAAAUAAAAUGUUGACAUUA